rnacentral:hammerhead_ribozyme from 1 species
AUCCAGUUGAUGAGUCCAAAAUUGAACGAAUUGCGCGUUCUGGAU